rnacentral:rRNA from 1 species
UGGGGAAUCUUGGACAAUGGGGGCAACCCUGAUCCAGCGAUGCCGCGUGAAUGAAGAAGGCCUUAGGGUUGUAAAGUUCUUUCACCCGUGACGAUAAUGACGGUAGCGGGAGAAGAAGCCCCGGCUAACUCCGUGCCAGCAGCCGCGGUAAGACGGAGGGGGCUAGCGUUGUUCGGAAUGACUGGGCGUAAAGGGCGUGUAGGCUGUUGAUCAAGUCAAGCGUGAAAGCCUCGGGCUUAACCCGAGAACUGCGUUUGAUACUGGUUGACUUGAGGACGAGAGAGGAAAGUGGAAUUCCGAGUGUAGAGGUGAAAUUCGUAGAUAUUCGGAGGAACAUCAGAGGCGAAGGCGGCUUUCUGGCUCGUAUCUGACGCUGAGGCGCGAAAGCGUGGGGAGCAAACAGG